rnacentral:rRNA from 1 species
UACGUAGGGGGCAAGCGUUGUCCGGAAUCAUUGGGCGUAAAGAGCGUGUAGGCGGCCCGAUAAGUUCGCCGUGAAAGCCCAGGGCUCAACCCUGGGAUGCCGGUGGAUACUGUCGGGCUAGAGUUCGGAAGAGGCAAGUGGAAUUCCUGGUGUAGCGGUGAAAUGCGCAGAUAUCAGGAGGAACACCGGUGGCGAAGGCGGCAUCCUGGACCAACACUGACACUGAGGAGCGAAAGCCAGGGGAGCAAACGGG